rnacentral:rRNA from 1 species
UACAGAGGUGGCAAGCGUUGUUCGGAAUUACUGGGCGUAAAGCGCGCGUAGGCGGCCCUGUAAGUCCGUUGUGAAAGUCAAAGGCUCAACCUUUGAAAGCCGAUGGAUACUGCAGGGCUAGAGUCCGGAAGAGGCGAGUGGAAUUCCUGGUGUAGCGGUGGAAUGCGCAGAUAUCAGGAGGAACACCAAUAGCGAAGGCAGCUCGCUGGGACGGUACUGACGCUAAGGCGCGAAAGCGUGGGGAGCGAACAGG